GUAAGGAAUAUUGGACAAUGGAGGCAACUCUGAUCCAGCCAUGCCGCGUGAAGGAUGAAGGCCCUACGGGUUGUAAACUUCUUUUCUCUUAGAAAAAACUACUGGUUUCGUACCGGUACUGAUUGUACAAGAGGAAUAAGCAUCGGCUAACUUCGUGCCAGCAGCCGCGGUAAUACGAAGGAUGCAAGCGUUAUCCGGAUUCACUGGGUUUAAAGGGUGUGCAGGUGGGGUAAUAAGUCAGUGGUGAAAGCCCCCGACUCAAUCGGGGAACUGCCAUAGAUACUGUUAUUCUUGAGUGUGGUUGAGGCGGAUGGAAUAUGACAUGUAGCGGUGAAAUGCUUAGAUAUGUCAUAGAACACCGAUCGCGAAGGCAGUCCGCCAAACCAUUACUGACACUGAAACACGAAAGUGCGGGGAUCAAACAGGAUUAGAUACCCCAGUAGUCC
rnacentral:rRNA from 1 species